GCAUAUCAAUAAGCGGAGGAAAAGAAACCAACAGGGAUUGCCCCAGUAACGGCGAGUGAAGCGGCAACAGCUCAAAUUUGAAAUCUGGCCCCCAGGGCCCGAGUUGUAAUUUGCAGAGGAUGCUUUUGGCGCGGUGCCUUCCGAGUUCCCUGGAACGGGACGCCAUAGAGGGUGAGAGCCCCGUCUGGUCGGACGCCUAGCCUGUGUAAAGCUCCUUCGACGAGUCGAGUAGUUUGGGAAUGCUGCUCUAAAUGGGAGGUAUAUGUCUUCUAAAGCUAAAUACCGGCCAGAGACCGAUAGCGCACAAGUAGAGUGAUCGAAAGAUGAAAAGCACUUUGAAAAGAGGGUUAAAUAGUACGUGAAAUUGUUGAAAGGGAAGCGCUUGUGACCAGACUUGGGCCCGGUGGAUCAUCCAGCGUUCUCGCUGGUGCACUCCGCCGGGUUCAGGCCAGCAUCAGUUCGCCGCGGGGGAAAAAGGCUUCGGGAACGUGGCUCCUACGGGAGUGUUAUAGCCCGUUGCAUAAUACCCUGGGGCGGACUGAGGUUCGCGCUCCGCAAGGAUGCUGGCGUAAUGGUCAUCAGCGACCCGUCUUGAAACACGGACCAAGGAGUCGUCUUCGUAUGCGAGUGUUCGGGUGUAAAACCCCUACGCGUAAUGAAAGUGAACGCAGGUGAGAGCUUCGGCGCAUCAUCGACCGAUCCUGAUGUUCUCGGAUGGAUUUGAGUAAGAGCAUACGGGGCCGGACCCGAAAGAAGGUGAACUAUGCCUGUAUAGGGUGAAGCCAGAGGAAACUCUGGUGGAGGCUCGCAGCGGUUCUGACGUGCAAAUCGAUCGUCAAAUAUGGGCAUGGGGGCGAAAGACUAAUCGAACCUUCUAGUAGCUGGUUUCCGCCGAAG
rnacentral:rRNA from 1 species